rnacentral:rRNA from 1 species
UGAGUACGAGAUGCUACGGCAUCGAAGCAGUCUAUGUCAUACUUCCAAGAAAAGCUUGCACUGUCAUAAACAAAGAAUGCCUGUACCAUAACCGACACAGGUGGGUAGGUAGAGUAUACUAAGGGGCGCGAGAUAACUCUCUCUAAGGAACUCGGCAAAAUGACUCCGUAACUUCGGGAGAAGGAGUGCCUUAUUUCUAAGGUUGCAAUAACAAGAUCCAAGCAACUGUUUACCAAAAACACAGGUCUCCGCUAAGUCGUAAGACGAUGUAUGGGGGCUGACGCCUGCCCAGUGCCAGAAGGUUAAAGAAGUUGGUUAGCAUUAGCGAAGCUGAUAACUGAAGCCCUGGUGAACGGCGGCCGUAACAAUAACGGUCCUAAGGUAGCGAAAUUCCUUGUCGGGUAAGUUCCGACCCGCACGAAAGGCGUAAUGAUUUGGAUACUGUCUCGGAGAGGGGCUCGGUGAAAUAGACUUGUCUGUGAAGAUGCGGACUACCUGCACCUGGACAGAAAGACCCUAUGAAGCUUUACUGUAACUUGAGAUUGAAAUUGGACUUUAUUUGCGCAGUAUAGGUGGGAGGCGCUGGGAAUAAUCUUGCGGGAUUGUUGGAGCCAUCAGUGAGAUACCACUCUUGUAAUGUUAGAUUUCUAACUUUGUAUCAUUAUCUGGUCAAAGAACAGUUUCAGGCGGGCAGUUUGACUGGGGCGGUCGCCUCCCAAACGGUAACGGAGGCGCACAAAGGUUUCCUCUGAACGGGUAGAAAUCGUAUCUAGAGUGUAAAGGCAUAAGGAAGCUUGACUGUGAGACCUACAAGUCGAGCAGGGACGAAAGUCGGUCUUAGUGAUCUGACGGUGCUGAGUGGAAAGGCCGUCACUCAACGGAUAAAAGUUACUCUAAGGAUAACAGGCUGAUCUCCCCCAAGAGUUCACAUCGACGGGGAGGUUUGGCACCUCGAUGUCGGCUCAUCGCAUCCUGGGGCGGUAGUACGUCCCAAGGGUUGGGCUGUUCGCCCAUGAAAGCGGUACGCGAGCUGGGUUCAGAACGUCGUGAGACAGUUCGGUCCAUAUCCGGUGUAGGCGUUAGAAUAUUGAGAGGAGCCUUCUCUAGUACGAGAGGACCGAGAAGGACAUACCUCUGGUGUACCAGUUAUCGUGCCAACGGUAAACGCUGGGUAGCUAUGUAUGGAGUGGAUAACCGCUGAAAGCAUCUAAGUGGGAAGCCCACCUCAAGAUAAG